CAGGGGCCGAGGAAGACCAGCUACCCAUUCCAGAAGGACCGGCACCACCCGAGGACGAGCCAGAGCAGGCUCCCGUGGCACAAGUUGCCCCUCCCGACGAGACCGUGGUGCAUCCUGUGCCUGCAGCGGAUGCCUGCGUGGCGCCGCAAGGCUCCAUGCUGCGUUUGUGGGAUCGGCUGCAGCAGUUCAGCGACGACCACGGACUGUGCACCAUGGAGACGCUGGUCACACUGGACGCCUUCAACCGGAGAGCCGUGGCCAGGUGCUUUGGCGCGCUCCUGCGUAGGUGGCCUCUCUCUUUCUCUCUUUCAGUUUCUUCCGGCAUUGCAAGUACCCUGCUUGUGCACUGAGAACAAUGUGGGACGUCCCGUCUUGUUUAUGCACUGUAUGCACAUAUGCACACUGUACUAUGUACUUGCAGUACCCCAUC